CUUCUUUGACGAAGCAAUAAAAGUGUAGUCCUUACGAUAAUAUGCGAACAUAUUAAUUUUAGGAUAAUAAACUUACGACCUCGAAGAGAUCGAAAAACUAAUCAGGAUUCAUUAGAGGUAUAUUUACAAAUAACCUCAAUGUAUUCGGGAGUGCUACUGUGGUUACAGAAAUCAAUUGAUAAUACUUAAAUAGAUUGUCUUGUCGGACUGGCUCUAUUAACGACAUAUCAAUUGUCAAAUGGUUAUUAAUAUCCAUUAAGGCGGAUAAAAGCGUUCUUCAGGGCACAAAAUAUGCGCUUAGACGUCCCUGCUCUAGCACCUCUAUCGCUGUUCGGAGAUUUAUUAUUUGUGACGGGAAUUCAGCAAUCGCACCCUCCAUGUAUCGGAGCGCUGUGCCGAAAAAAGAAUGAGUAGCUGUAUGUCUGCAUUGUCUUGAUUAGAUGUUCUUGAUCUUGUGUUAGCAUCUUAAUGCGUUGACGAUUUUCCUUAACAGCGGUUAAUGUGUUAUUUAAAACUGUAUUGUACACAUUCUAGAAGUGCAGGCAACUUUCUUGAUCGGUUUUUAUCUGUGAUACCCUUGCAUUGAGGUCUUCGACCUCUUUCGACGUAGCGGUCCCAAACAAGAACUUCAAUAAGUUUUCCCCUAAAUCAAUAAGUGCUCUCUUUUUCUUCUUGUUCGUAUAUAAUGUGACUGAAGAUUUUAAAUCCCGGUAUUUCGCAUCUUGAUCCUUUAAGAUCCGGUCUAAAUUUAUAGCUUCAGUGGCGGUAUAAUUCCAUUGUGAUCCCAUGAUUGCCGUAUUCUUGCCGUCUUUCCUUUGUGCUUCUCUUAUUAACUGCUUUAAAUUUUGCAAGUGUUCUUUUAAUCGUGACAACUGUAAAUCAUGUUCCUCGGACGUAAUAUCGACCACGAUAGUCUAAUGUACUGGUGGUGGUGAGAAGAAAAUUUCCCUGAUUUACAAAUACAACCGCUUUAUUCAACGCAGAUAUGUUAGCUAUGUUAUCUAUGAUAUGUAUCAUCAAAAUGGUUAUCACGAAUGUAAUGCUUCUACUUCCCAUUAUCCGUUUUCCUCUGUUAUCUGGAAAUAAAUUACAUCAGAUCGGUGUUAGAUCUCGUAUAUAAUAGGAACAGUUUAUUAUUAAAUUAAUUUUAACUUUUAAGUUCUCUUCGGUAUCCCAGAACGAGAGGAAGUAGGGAGAACCCAAUUUACUACCGGAACGGAUCCUCGACUGCGCAGAGCAUAGUCAUGAUAAUUCUGCGGAUGAGAGCUCGUGUUAGGGGCUGAUUCGUUCCCUAACAGCAGAGGAGGAAUUUUUGGAGAAUUGGAAGAAAGUUGUUCCUUACCUAGACAGUUACAGAACUUACUAUAUCCUUCCAACUUUCCCCAUGGAUUGAGAAAAUGUUCUGCCAUCCUGCAACUCGGAUACGGAUUAUACAGAAAUAUUGGACGACCCAGAAUUCUUCAUGACAUAAUGCCCGUCAGAAACCGCCAAGAAGCUAUUGGGAUUAUGCCAGUAGGCAAAAGACGUAUACAAGCAAACAAAAUUACACCCAGAAUCAUCCUUGCCUGCUAUCAUGGAAAACGGGACUUUCAGUACAUCCAUCUCUUCCAUGACUGCUCCUGGUCAAGUCGAAGUUGUAGAUGUACUAUCACCUAGGGCCUACAAAUACGGCGACGUACUAGGCGAUCUGUUUGAAGUAACAUCAUCGACUUCAAGUCGAUCAUCACUAUCACAAAGUAUUUUUUUCAACAAGAAUGGGAAAUGCUUUACAUCCAAGUUGGAGACAUCAACUAGUCAUCAACUAGUAGAGAUUAGAGUGGGAUCAUUUGCAGAUACCCUGAAACUUCCUCAAUCCCAGUAGUGGAAGGCAUAUUCGAAAAAGAUAACUUUUGUGACGAAGAGUCAACAGGAUUAUCUGAAUCAAAUGGUGGAGAAAAUUCUGGGAAUAGCAGCGGAAAGAAUUGGACAAAUACGCAAUCCCAAAAUGCGACCAAGAAACAGUAUUAUUAGAAUUUAUUCAGG
rnacentral:lncRNA from 1 species